UUCAUUUUUACUUGACACUAUUUGACUGGUACAUUCAUUAUGAAAAUAAUUAUUGACAUAUGUAUUUUACUAUAUUAUUCCUAUUAAUAAAUGUUUAAUACUCUCCCCGUCCACUUUUAAUUAUCAUGUUGCACUUUUUGAAAGUCAAUUUGACUAAUUUUAAAGUUAAAUUAAAUUAUAUUAAUUCAAUAUUUUUUUAAAUUUUUUUUAGAUAUUCAAAACGGAAAACGGUCAAAUAUACCACUGUACUAUUGGAAAUAGUUUAUAUAUACCAUUCGUUAUACUUUUGGGUCAUAAAUAUCCCUUCCGUUAUACUUUGGUACAUAUAUAUACCCCUAAUUUUAAUAGAAUGACACAUGUCAGCUUAAAAAUCAAAUAACCCAUCCCCAAUUUUAAUUACCCAAUUCCUUUUAAACCCACCCAUUUCCUCCUGACCCACCUUCAAGGAAACCCAUUUUCUUAAAUCAUCUUCUUUAUCUAAAAUUUUCAUUAAAAUCAGGCCUCAACCACCGUGAAAACUCACUGUGAAACUCAAGGAAGAAGUGAAAAGCUAAUAUCAUCUAGAUUCAAUCCUCAACUUCCGGCAACCAACACCAACAAGAGCAUCCCACAAUAUAAAAUGGAAAACUUUUCUUAACACAAAUGAUUUUAAUGGAGGUUUCACUUACUCCUUUAGUUUCACAGUGAGCUUUUGUGGCUGAUUUUAAUGGAGGUUUUAGAUAAAGUAGAUGACUUGUGAAAUUGGAUUUGGUUGAAGGUGGGUCAUCCGAAAAAAUGGGUGGGUUUCAAAGAAAUUGGAUAUUUAAAAUUAGGGAUGAGUUAUUUGAUUCUUAAACUGACAUGUGUCCCUUUGUUAAAAUUAGGGUAUAUAUAUGUCAAAGUAUAACAGAAAGGGUAUAUAUGAACCAAAAGUAUAGCAAAUAAUAUAUAUAAACUAUUUUAAAUAGUAUAGAGUAUAUUUGACCCUUUUCCGUAUUCAAAAACAAUAGGAAAAGUUAAAUUAAAAAUGAAUUGCUUGUCGUAUACAUAAUUAAUGAAGGAUAGCGUAUUGGGUAAAAAAACUUAAGAUAACACGGAAAAUCCCCGAAACGAAAGAUUUUUUUUUUUGUUUUUGUUUUUGCAGCCGAUAUCAUCCAAAGGCGGUGAAUACACGCCUUGCACAUUCUUUCAUUUCUGGAUCGCUCUGUUUUAUUCUUCAAAAAAAAAACUGACACAAUUUCGCCAACCACUCAUUUUUUAUUUCCUCAUAAAAACCCUAAAAACACAAUCGAACCCAAAAAUUGGUGUUGGAAGGAAGAGUAAGCAUUUGGUUUCGAAUUCAAGUUCAAAUCCCGAGCAUGGGGUGAAGAAGAAGAUAUACAGGGGACGAAUUUUGUGAUGGAGUGGGAUAGCGAUUCGGAUUUGAGUGGAGCAGAAGAAGAUGACGUGAUUGAGGAAGAAGUUGAGGAUGAAUUAGAGGAACUAGGGUUUAUGUUGAGUGGUGGUGGUUCGGCUUUGCCUUUCCCUAUUGACUCGCUUUUGCAACCUGCACCUUGUGGUUUUGUUGUUAGCGAUGUUUUUGAGCCUGACCAUCCCAUUAUAUAUGUCAAUUCUGUUUUUGAGAUGGUUACUGGUUACCGUGCUGAAGAAGUCCUUGGCCAAAACUGGUAAUUUUUUUUAUCUAUAGUUUGUUGUAUGUUUUUGUUGCUAUCCUCUUUGAUUUUCAGAUUAAAAUAUCUAUUUUAAUAAGUCUUAUGGGGAAUUAUACCUACUGAAAAAUACAAACACCUGAUUAUGAUUGGAUCUACAUAUUGGAGUGUGCAUCAGUGACUUUUUGUGUUUGUUGCCCAUUGUAUAUAGAUUUAGCAUCGUAAGACACGGUUUGUUUGCAAGUUUGUAGCUCAAUCAAUCAUGUUUUGCUUAACUAAAGGCACAACGCAGGUAUCAACCUAUGUAACUGAUAGUUUAGGUUGAGUUUGUUUGGAUAAGGAUAAGUUACCGGGUUAGAGUGUAGGGCGGGAUGAUAAACCAAUUACGGUGGAAUGAAGUAAUAUGUGGUUAAUUUAUUAAUUUUAUUGGGAUAAGUAUUAAGAUUGUAUGCCUAAAAGAGAUAACUGUAGGUUCCUUGGACAUUUACCAGCUAUCUCAGCAUGCACUGGCUUGACUUUUAGUUAUUUGAUGGAACUGUUUUGACUUUUCUUUGGGAAAUAUCUCCUUAUCUCCUGCCCUGUGUAAAGUAACCUUGCUAGUCUUUCGUUUGAGGUUGCGCGCAACUGAAUUUCCAAUGGUUUAAUUUGUUCCUUCUUUAUUAUUAUUAUUUGGCUUAUACUUUUGUUAUGAAGAAUCAGCCAAGAAGGCAGGGAUUUUGGAUGCAAGGGUGAAACUAACUUUGUUCCUUUUGUCCUCCUUUUGUUUUGUUGGAAUUCGGGAAGUAAAUUUAGUUGAAAAGUGUAGUAGAUGUCUUAUUGUGUAGCAACAACUGCUUAUAUGAGAAAGGAUGGUUAUAUUUUCUUGGCUUAGAAAAAUGAUGGAUGUAUUGCAGACCUGGUAUUGUCACAUCUAGGUAUUCUAAGGGAAAAUGUAACAGAAAAGAGAAUGAAGCAAUUCUGAUCAAUGGCAAAGGGAAAAUGGAAAAUACCUCACCUUUUUGGGAAUGCUUCAAUGCCUGAUUCCUAUUCUUUCUGUUUGCAUAUCAGGAAGAAUCACAUGCUUGUUAUGGUCUUAAACAAAAGGUCCCUAGAAUUUUUAUUGUCCUGUGUUAGGAUCAUAUCCUUAGACAUUCACUCCAGGUGCUGUUCAGCUCUAAAAAGCUCCUUUCUUCUUUUAUUGUCACUUAUUCAAACAGUUAAAAGGGGAAAAUUUAGAGAACUUUUGAGUAUUAUGAUACAUACAGGUGAUUCACCACUCCCUGGUUUUGAAUUUCUGACUGUGUGAUGCUAUCUUUCAUGGUGUCCCCUAUUUGCUGAAGAAUUGAGUUCUAUGAUGCAAUAUGAGUGGUGAAAAAACUAGUUUUGUGGUAAUAUCAAGUUCAACUUCAGGAAAUUAAGAAGGUAACGUUCUUGUCCAUACCUUCCAAAGUAGAUAUACUCUUGAAGUCUUGUGCUCUAAUCUUGCUAAGUCAAUUUGAUUGGAGAAAUCGUAUUGCUGCAGCAUUGGUAGAACCUUAGGCUAGUAGUUUCCAUUAUAAGCACAAGCUAAUUUGAAAUCUCUACCGAUAAUAGAUCCUUUUGAACAUCUGACAUUAAGCUAGUAGUAAGUCCCCAUCCCUUCAUACUCUCCACUUAUGUUUAUUUACAUCAAAUACAUGUAAUAAAAUGGAAUGUAUAAUAUAUAUAAUACACACAAACACUGAGAAGCAACCUCCUGUUCCGUUCAUUUUAUACUAGCCAAAACAUGCUCUUGCUCAUCUUCUGGAUCCUCCUACAUAUUACUGUUUCUUCUACUGUUUUCAUUGCAAACCAAGCAAUAUUAAGUAGCAAGGAUGCAAUCCUAUGUAGAAAGAUCUGGUCAGUGUCCUCUUUACUCUCCUUACACAUUCUACCGCCAAGUACCAACUCACUAUAGCUCUCCUCUUUCUUUGAUGUUCUUCCAUCAAUUUGCAUUCCUCACGACACACCACAUGAAGAAAUUGAUCUUUGUCGUUGCUUUCCUGCACCAGACUUUCUUCUUAACCUUUCUUGUACUUCAAUGCCGAAUUCCUUAUUCCUCUCCCAAUACACAUUCUAUCAUCCCCAUCAUUCCCUCCAUUUCUUGGUAUAAAUAUUAUCACUUCCCCAAUCUUGUAUCAUGUAUGACCCUUCUAAAGGUGGAGAAGUUCUUUUUGAUUUGAGAUUUAGGAGAAACUAGCAAACUGGGACAUUGCAGGAUAUCAAAGGUUGGUAGAUUGCUUCACAAACAAUUUACUACACAUGAUUGUCAUGAUUUACUGAGAUGAGGGGUGGGAAACAAUGGUGUAUUUUUUGUGAAGUCCUCUUACGAGAAGCUUCUAGUAAAGGAGUCAGUUUUCCCACACCUCUCAACACGGAUCCCUAGAGUAUCGAGAAAUUUGUAUCUUUUACCUCGCUAGCCACGAGGGAGUGAUACUUGACGGUUGGGAAUUUGAUGGAGAGAGAUAAUAUAUGUCGGUGUUUCAUGUGCCAAAGUUUGGGUGAUAUGUGGAUCAUCUACUUUUACAUUGCAAGGUAGCUUCACACUUGUGGUGGGACAUCCCGAGAUAGCUUGGUCUUCAGUGGGUGAUUCCAUGCAAUGUAAAGGAAGCCAAUGUUCAGUUGGACACUCAGUAGUCGGGAGAGAAGACAUGGGAGUGGGACGUGGCUCAUCUAGCACUUACCAGUUUAGAGGGAGAGAAAUAGGAUAACUUUUGAAGGAGUAGAAAUUAUUUUGUAUACUUGAGGAGUAGCCUCUUAUCCUUAUUGCAGAAAAUGAUUUUGUGAAGUGUGAAGGAAGCUGUGCUUUUUGUAUACCUACAAGAUUCCUAUUUGUAUAGAAGAUUGGUUGACUUUUGUAGAAAUCAUAUCUUUUUGUAAGGUUUUCUAUUUUCUGGUAUAUUUGUUGUAUAUGUUUUUUUUUUUGUGUCCUUCGUGAAUAAUUUUUUUGGUCAUAAAAAGAUGCAUACAGUAGGCUCUUUAACCAUUUGUCACCUCAAAACUUUGGAAAGACAUAAAUGAUGACUUUAUUUAGGCCCACAUAUAUUUUCAAAAUUUCUAAUGUUGAGCUUAUGUUUAGAGUACCCUUUGGCCUAAAUCCCAAUGCAUUUAAGUUCUUCUAAUGGUAGCUCCGCACUUGAAAACAUGCUUAUUUAACAAAACCAUAGCUCCAAACAUGGUGUAUGUAUCUGGUUGCAAUAGGCAAAGAUGCAAUCACCAUGUAAAAUGCAAUAAUGAAGCUACAUGUCUGUAGCCUAGUAUUUGGCUUCAAGUUGUGAGUGCAGAAAAUGGCUUAACCUGUAAUAUUAUUGAUUUUCAACCACCUAAAAUAAGUUCAUAUACGAAUCUCGGAGAAAUGUCAUUUCGGUGCAAAGGAUAUGACUUAAUGGUAAACAAAAUGGAAGAAGAACCGUGAAGUUUCAGGUUCAAAUCUAAGCAGAGACAGAAAAAGCUAUGUGAUGGCUUCCAAUCUGCCUAUAUCUUGGUUGGCAGAGUUACCUAGGAAUUCCUGUACAGGUGAGAGGAAGCAGGUAUCUGGUUGAAUAGCCUCGGUGUACGCAAGUUGGAUCGACGCUGCCAUCAUUAAAAAAGUCACUUUGAUGGAGUAAGUGCCUCAGAAGUACGUUCAUCCUAAAACAAAAUUAACUAAGCAAAUAGCCUACCACCAAGGCUCCGNNNNNNNNNNNNNNNNNNNNNNNNNNNNNNNNNNNNNNNNNNNNNNNNNNNNNNNNNNNNNNNNNNNNNNNNNNNNNNNNNNNNNNNNNNNNNNNNNNNNNNNNNNNNNNNNNNNNNNNNNNNNNNNNNNNNNNNNNNNNNNNNNNNNNNNNNNNNNNNNNNNNNNNNNNNNNNNNNNNNNNNNNNNNNNNNNNNNNNNNNNNNNNNNNNNNNNNNNNNNNNNNNNNNNNNNNNNNNNNNNNNNNNNNNNNNNNNNNNNNNNNNNNNNNNNNNNNNNNNNNNNNNNNNNNNNNNNNNNNNNNNNNNNNNNNNNNNNNNNNNNNNNNNNNNNNNNNNNNNNNNNNNNNNNNNNNNNNNNNNNNNNNNNNNNNNNNNNNNNNNNNNNNNNNNNNNNNNNNNNNNNNNNNNNNNNNNNNNNNNNNNNNNNNNNNNNNNNNNNNNNNNNNNNNNNNNNNNNNNNNNNNNNNNNNNNNNNNNNNNNNNNNNNNNNNNNNNNNNNNNNNNNNNNNNNNNNNNNNNNNNNNNNNNNNNNNNNNNNNNNNNNNNNNNNNNNNNNNNNNNNNNNNNNNNNNNNNNNNNNNNNNNNNNNNNNNNNNNNNNNNNNNNNNNNNNNNNNNNNNNNNNNNNNNNNNNNNNNNNNNNNNNNNNNNNNNNNNNNNNNNNNNNNNNNNNNNNGUAAUGAUCAUGGACUUAAUUUUUGGUGGUUAUUGUUGUGGAGGUGGAGAUGGCAGAGUGGAGAUCACAUGAUGUGUUUUUGUACAUUCUAAGUGGUGCGUUAGGCCUCAUAUUUCUUCAAUAUUGCAGUUAAACGUUUUGGCUCGUCUAGAUCUAAUUGAUGGCUGAGAGCCCAAAUGGAAAUAAUGAGGGUGACACAUAAAUUCCGAUCUUGUCUUUCCACAUGGGAAAGUUUUUGUAUGUUGUUUCUGGUGUUAACUCUUGGCAAAAAAUAUAGCAGAUGAUGUUCAAUUAAUUUAGCAUGGAUCAUCACACAGAUAUAUCAGCUUGCAUCGUAUCUCUGGAAGAGGAGGGUGGGUGUUCUUGUAUAUUUUGGUAGUGCAAUCAGUGCGGAAAACUAUUAAUUCUCAACAGAAUAUUUGAUUGGAUUGCCGGUAUUAGUAUUGGAGUGUAAGCGAAUUGCACAGUAUGCACGGGCGCCUCUGCAAAGUUAUAUUUAAUCUGGAGAUGCUUAUGUAGUUUUCGGCUUCUUCUUUAACUUAUCCAGAAAAUAGUUUGAUGUUGUUGCUUCAGCAUUUGGUACUCACCCUCAAGAAAUGGAGAGGAGGAAAUGAUAGCUAUAGAUAGCAGCUGGUGAUUUGUUUCAUCCUAGUUGUGCUCACAUUAAGAAAUGAACAUGAGAUCAAAAUAAGAUGGUUGAAAGGGAGAAGUGGAGAAGUACUACCAGGGUGUUUUGUGUAGAAGGAUGCGUACUAAAGUGAAAGUUAAGUUUUAUGAUUCAAUUGUAAGACCGUCAAUGUUAAAUGAGAGUCAAUGUUGAGCUGCUGAAAACCGACACAUUGCAAGAGGAGUGUUGUAGAUAUGCACUGAAUGGACACCAUACAAGGUCAGACAAGAUUAAAAUUCCAUGUUCACCUGAAGGUGCAAGUACCACCAUGCACAUUAGGAUAAAAUGAGAGAAAGGUUACUUGAGAUGGUUUGGUCAUCUAUUAGAAUCCAUGCAGACUUGCGAGAAAUAGGACAUACUAAAAGAAGAUCUAUAUGGACAAGAACAAUUAGUUGGGAAUAUGUUAGUAUGUUUACAUUGGGUCCUAUUUUUUCAAGUAGUCUUUUAGUUUUCAGAGAUUUUAUGCUAGUAGAAAAUAUAGAAUAUUUCUUGCACUCUUUAUUUUAUUUUUAUUCUACAUAAUCUUGGUCUCAAAUGAAUUCAAAUGGAAAUCAUGGUUAAUAUGGAUUCAUAUAGACGACACCAACUUGUUUGGGAUUGAGGCAUACUUAUUAUUGGUGCAAGAAACUAACAUGGGAUCUAGGGCUUUUUAUUUACCUAAGGCCAUCCAUCCUACACGUGCUUCUCAAGAAUAUCUAAAAGAGGCUUGGCCCUGUCAUCAGUCUGCAAGUAAGCACCUAAGAUGAAAUAGAACAGACUUGCCAUGAAAAGAAACAUGUAGAUACAGCUAUCAAACUUGAGAAACUAUCGUUUCUGUUUUAGGAUUGUAUUGUCUAAAGUAUUACCCAUUUUUUUAAUAUAGGGUUAACUGUCUGCAACUUUAAUUUUCUUUGACUUAUUGAUCUGCUAUGUGAGUAUCUUAUCAUUGUAGCUAAAUAAGCACGUCAAUAACUAAAUUAAGUUUGGUCUUCACUUUUUGCUAUGUGAGUAUCUUAUCAUUGCCCUCUCUCUUGCUCUCGUUUUUUAAAUUUAGUUGCAUGUUUGCGAUUGUGCUUUUAGGAUGUAAUCUGGGAGUCAGAAAAUAGAAGGGAGUUUUGAGAAUAUUCAUUUUCCCUUUUGGAGUUGUAUGGGUAAAAUGUGAAGACUGGUUGGGCUGAAAGGGCUCUGGGUAUAGGUAGCGGAUGCUGAACAGAGAAGAGGACUAGAAAGAUGAGAAUUUGAGUUGAUGGGUGAAUAUAUGGGGUCUGGGGAGAAACAUUAGGUUUGUUAGUCUCUGUAGUUUAAAAUGUUUUCCAGCUUGGAUAAAGUGUGAUUAAAUUAAGAAUACCUGGACAGACACCCAUAAUUUUUUGACCUGGUAAAUGGAGAUUUCAUUAAUAAAUGCAUCCAGUAGAUGCUGUAAUUUACAAGCUGCAGCAAAAAAGAGUUAGCUCCUGAACAGUGAGACCUUCUAAAUGCUAAUUAAGAAGCUAAUAAAAUAAAAAUAACUGAACAGAAUUAUUUACAGUAUGAUGAUCACUCCAGCAAAAGAAUGUUUUGAGAGUCAUCUACAUUUCGCUAGCAUUUGGCCUUAGAUUCCCUAAUAUUUUUGGGAAACUAGAUUUGGGUGAAGUUUGGAUUGAAGUUUCAACAUGUAUUUGGCCAUAGUUUCGGGAACAUAUUUCACUUUUUUUAAAACAAAACAUUACAUGAUUUAUACCCAUAAAUUUGACACAAUUAUCAUUCUUAGUACGGAGAAGGGUCAAAAAUGCCUUUCAACUAUGUGAAAUGAACAAAAUUGCCCUUCGUUUAUAGCUCGGUCCUAAAUUGCCCUUGUCGUCAAUACUUUGGUCCAAAAAUCCCCUUGGUGUUAAUAGUUUGGUUCAGAAAUGCCCCUAUUGUCACUACAUGGGUCAAACAUGUCAUUUUUCGAAUAAAUAUAUUGUUUUUUUUUAAUUUUUAUAAACACUUCUUGUUCCUAAUAAAAAAAUUACUUUUUAAAGAACCCUAUUCUUGUUUUCUUUCUUUUAAACUCACUUAAACUAAUGAAAAUGCAGGAUUUUAUUUUUUUUUAUCAAUCAAAAUAGAAUAACUUAAUGUACCCUUUUAACGGAUAAUAUAUGCCAUAUAGAUAAUAUCAUAAUAAAUCCAUCAUUAAUUUUCAUUUAGAUAACGAUAAAAAAAUAUUAUAAUACAAUAAGAACUAUUUUAUUUUUAUUUUUUUCGAAUUCAAGUAGGAUAAACAUUUGUUAAUAAGAUAAAUAUUAGAAAAAAAUGUGUGUAAAAAGAAAAUAAAUAAUAUACUUAUUUGAAAAUUGGCAUUUUUGAUCCAUUAAGUAACAAUAAGGGCAUUUUUGGACCAAACUAUAAACUAAGUGCAUUUUUGUUCAUUUCACAAAGUUUAAGGACAUUUUUUACCCUUUAUCAUUUUUAUAAUGAACUAGAUAAUACAUUAUCCUAAAAUCAUAACGCGAUAUUUAAUAAAAAGUACUAAUAACACAAUUACUAUCUACUACAAUUCGUCAAAUUACAAUUUGUUACGAAGAUCCAUCGACAAAAAAGAAAUAAAUAAUAGCAACGGUAGUAACUAGCUAUUCUUUAAUAUAAUCUUCCCACAUUCUAUGAACAAUCUCUUCAAAGCGAGCAUGCAUCGCCAUAUUAGGAGUGCUUUUUAUGAGGGGAAAGGGUAGAUAGAACUAGUUGGAGUCAUAAGUAGAUAGACUUCUUUCGUAAAAUGAAAAAGUUGUGGGUAAGUUCCAAAAUUUUAAAAGAACUCAACAACUACUACUUUUUUACCCCAAAACCAGUAGUUUUUAAAGAUUUUGGGAGUUUUGGUUUUUCUUGCCAAAAUAAUUUCCCAAAACUAGACAAAUUUUGCCAAUUUUUUCCCAUAAAGUGCUUGCAAUGUCUACUGCCAAACGGGUACUUGAAGGUUGGUAGGAGAUGUAACUGGAACUACUCCAACAUCCUGGAUUUAGAAGCCAAUAAUUAUGUAAUAACAUGAAAUGAAAGGUAAGAUCUUGUUCCUGGUUAAGAUUGCCCCAUAGGCAGUACAUCAGUUUAUUUCUUUCCUUGAUCUGUGCAUGUUGAACUUUGCUAAACAUGCUCGGCAUUUAUUAAUACAUAAGAACUUCUAGCAUUGAUAUAUCUCAAUAAAAAUCAAGUGAUUGAAAUAUAUAUGUGUUUGAUUUUUAUUUAGGUCCUUUUAGUUAGAAAUAAUGUGGAGAUAAUCUUUUUUUUGAUUGUUUAUAAUGUGGAGAUAACCUUAUCUUGUAAUUUGUGAUAAGGUUUUGUCUAUUAGUCAGAGGUAAUCGUAUUUUUCGUUAGAGAAGGCUUUAGGUAGUCUCAUCUUUUUUUUUUGGUUAUAGAGUUCUAGUAGUUUGACUUCUAACUAGUUUAGAACUUUACAUUCCAUAAUAUAAGACCACGGUGUUGUCUAUAUGGAAGACUUUGAUACACAUGACCUUAUUUUUAUAUGGGAAGCCCUUACCCUCAAACCCCCUUACAAGGUGGCAAAUGUUGAUUUUGUCCACUUUGUUUGUUUGGUAACUCAAAUGCCUAACAUUUUUGGUCUGAGUUGAAGCGUCCUUUCCACUAGGCUAUACCUCCUUUGUCUUGAAUAACACAUGACUUUUGAAUAGUACCUUACAACUUCCUCCUUUUUUUCUUCUCUCUUAUUUCUUUUUUGUUCUCUCUUGUUUAUUUUUGUUCUCUCCAUUCUUCUCGCAUUCCUCCCUUCUCUGCUACAUUAGUUUGGUAUCAAAAGCUCAAGUCCAAUUCACUUUUAACACCCAUUACUGAUGAAACUCAUAUAUCUACUACCAGAAAUGAUCCAUUUUUCAGUUCUCAACUGACAUCUUGUUAUCAUUCAAGUACAAAGAAGGUAUAGUAAGGAAGCUUGAUAACAACAAAAAAAUUUAGUAAGCAAGUUUGAUUCCUCAUUCUUUUGAUCUCUCUUGGAAGCUGGAGGACGUAACUACGUUGCAUGAGACAUCAGUAUAAAUGAAAUUCAAUCUACUCUAAGUUGGCGGUUCAGAACAACUUCUUCAAUGGGAGUAUCAUUGCUUGAUGCUACGUGGACCAAGGAAACUAGUAAUCUUAGAACCUUUUUUGGAUUGGCUUUUGGCUUAUAAGCCAAAAUUCAUAAGUUAGAUCCUAACUUACGGCUUUUGUCUUCUUUUAAAAAAAAUCAUUUUAGCUUAAAAUCAAGUGCUUAUAAGCACUUCUUUGAUUUUACCCUAGCACUAAAAAAUGCUGAAAAACUAUUUUGGCUUAAAAGGACUUAAAAAUAAGUCAAUUCAAACAGGCUCUUAGUUGUCUAGGCUUGUUUGCUCCAAUUGAAAGAGAAUUGUCUAUCUGAACAGAGAAAUACAAUGUUUUUUUUAUAGGGUAAAUAGGUCUAUUAAUGUGGAAAACCUCAUAUAUAAGACGUAGCCCAAAAGUAUCCUUACACAAUAAAAACAAAUGCAAUGUCAUUAUGUUUAAUAUUUUUUAAUAUUCUUUUGGUUUUAGAAAACAGAGAUAAUCUUAUCCAUUUGGUUAAUAAUAAGGUUUUAUUUAUUAGUUUGAGAUAAUUAUGACUUUUGGUUCUUUCUCCAAAAAAAAUAUGACUUCUAGUUAGAGAAAUUGUUUUGUCUGAUUUAUUUUUUUUAAGACAUAGUUCUCCUAGUUUUUAAGACUUUUAACUUGUUUGGAAUUUACUAUCCUAUAAAUAAAACCAUUAUGUACUUUGGUUAGAAAACUUGAAUACCACUCGACAUGUUGAUGAAUAAUACCUUUUAAAUUUAGAUCUCUCUAACCCUAUAUAGGCUAAAUUAGUUUAUUAAUGUGGAAAACCUCGUAUAUGAACCGUAGCCCAAAAUGUAGAGAGUCUUACUCAAUUAAAACAAAUGCAAUAUCAUUAGACUUAAUAUAUUUUAGUAUUCUUUUGGUUUUAAAAAACAGAGGUGAUCCUAUUCGUUUAGUUAAUAAUAAGGUUUUAUUCAUUAGUUUGAGAUAAUUAUGUCUUAAUUGUUUUAUCUGAUAUUUUCUUUUUUGGUAGACAUAUAGUUCUCCUAGUUUUAAAAACUUUUAACUUGUUUGGAAUUUACUAUCCUAUAAAAAAAACCUUUACUAUCCUAUAAAUAAAACCAUUAUGUACUUUGGUUAGAGAACUUGAAUAACACCUGACAUGAUGAUGAGUACUACCUUCUAAAUUUUUCUCUCUAAUUCUCUUCUCGUGCCCUGUAUUAUCAUUCUAGCGUUGUUCUCUACUCCUCAACUUAUUUUUCGCAGUUUUUUGUCUUCCUUUACUCUGGUCCGCCUAAAUCAUUAUCUUUUGCGUGCUUUCAUGUCUCAUACUAGGUGAAAUGAUUGUGAUGUGGUUGUCAGGCUUUGCAUGCAAGAAUAAAUUGGAGAUGUGUUUUGUUUUGUGAUAACAUAGUUGUAAUAGUUAGAAAGCUUAGAAGCUGCAGCACUUUAGUUCCAAUAAUUUCUAUAGCUUGAAUUUUAUUUGUGUAAGCUUGAGAUCAGCUCAAACAUGGGAAAAGGGGUGGACUUAGAAGUUAAUGCAGUUGUUAGUCUUGUGGUUGAAUAAACUUGUGUUGUAGGAGGUCAAUUGUAGCUUACACAAUCUUGGGAGACCACUGGAGAUAGACAUUGGGAAAAACUAAUGAUUAGAGAGAGAGGGUUUAUUUUUUUUGAGAAAGGUAACAUUACUUCUAUAUAUCCACAGGUAUACUACAUCAAAGUGUAGUCCCCCUCCAAAAAGUUUUACUGACAUCAUUCCUAGGAUCUUCUAGUUACAACCAGUCAAUAAUAUUAAACACAUUUUCAGCAUCUCCUAUCACUACUUGCUUACACCAAAAAUAUUAAAUCCCUAGGCAAUUAGUCUUUAUCUUCUGGAUAUUGUUAUGUUUUCCUUCAAAACAUCUUUGAUUCCUUUCCUUCCAAAUUGUCCACCAAAUGCAAGCUGGGACAAUCCUCCAUCUCUUCUCAUUUUUUCCUGCAUUUCCAUCCCUGUUCCAGAAUUGUAGGACUUCUAUAAUACUCCCAGGCUUUGUCCACUUAAUCUUCCUCUUUUGGAUGAACAUCUGCCACAAUUGAUCAGUCCAUUUGCAGUGUAAAAAGAGAUGGUUGAUUGUCUCCACCUGUUCUUCACAUAGAUAGCAACUAGAACGUAGAUUGGGUUUCCUCUUGUUUAAGUUCUCAUGUGUCGAGACUGCCUGCUUUGCCAAGAGCCAUGUGAAGUAAUUCACCUUGUAGGGAAUUUCGGUUCUCCAGAUCAUCCUCCAGGGCCAUCCUGCAUGCUGCUCCUCCGUAGACUAACUCCUCUCAUUCUAGGUGGUGAUAUAAUAUCUCACCGAAAAAUCCAGACAGCACAAAAAUUACAGCAGACUAACUAGCUAAUGAAGAAGUUUGCCUUAUCAGCUUUCUUUCUGAUGCUAGGCAUUUGCCUCUUGUCGAGUUGAACCGAUCCCUUAGCUUGUCUUGGUAGUUGGUAGCUGGAUGGAGGAGUGGAACAUGUUACUAGCAGGGGUGUAUCUAGAGGGGGUGCCGUGGGUUCACGUGAACCCAUGCUCCCCUCUCUAGAUCAUAUAUAGUAGUGUUAUAUGUUUAAGUAAAAAUAUUUAAAUAUAGAUGUGUAAACCCACGUUCAAAGUAUCAUAUAAUAAUACAAUGAUGGUUGGGUGCACCUCUCUAGGUGAGGAUAGAAAUUGAAAUCUUAUACUAUCUAUCUUGUUUUUUUGAAUAACACCUCCCCAAGUGGUUAUUGGUUACACUUUAGGUGUUUCAACUAAUUUUUCUUUUGUUUUUUUCCUUUAAUCUUUCAAAAUUUUCAAGUGUGUUACAUCAAAGAUUCCUAAAAAUUUUAGCAUGGUAAAUUUUUUAUAUAAUUAAAUUAAAUGUGUAUAUUAAAAUUUAAAACAAGUAGUAUUAUAUAUUUUUGACCUAUUAUUUUUAAAAUUUAAUGGUUCAUAUUAAGAACCUAAAAGUCAAACCGAUAAAAUUUAUAUUUAAGAUGCAUUUUUUCGUCAUUUUGCACUUAUCAUAUCAAAAUCUUGGAUACACCUCUGGUUACUAGUCUUAAGGUUUCAGCCUUGUUACAUUAUAGCAUUUUUCUAUCUGCCCAUCUUCUUGGUUGGUGUUUGUCUCCUUCUUUUUCCUCUUUUAGGGGUGUAGGCCAGGGUCGUUUCAGGAAGAAAGGAAUGAGGACAUGUUGGUACUAAUCCUAGAAAUUUGAAUCAAGUACGUUAUUGUUGGUCUAUGAAACUGUAUGUGAAUGAGUGUUGGGGCGGGGUCACCGCUGAUCUAGAGAAAUCUGAUGAAGUUCUUUGUUAGAAACUACCAGUGCUAUAUAUUUAAAAUAUCUUCUUCUAUCCCCAGGUUGUCACAGAUCAUCAUUGUAAAAACCAAUUAUCUGUGGCAUCUUGCUUCAUAUAUUUUCUCAGGAACCUGAAUCAGGUAAAGCUUUACUCAUCUCUAUGGUUAUCGUUCCCCAAACUGAGUUUCUGCUAUGAAGAAAAAUUGAAAGUGGGCUUUCUUGUGUAUUUGGAUGAUAUAUGUGUUUUCUCCGUUACUCCAUCUGUAAAAAUACAACUAACUGCAAUCUUCUAGACACCACUGCCAGUCCCUCACAUAAAGUAAAAGAAAAGAAAAAGAAAGGGAGUUUCCAUAAAGAAAACGGGGGAAGGAGCAUAUUUUAGUAUCCCAAAUGAAAUAAGAGAAAAAUGUUAGGAAGAAGGUGUGCUUUGAAAAUCAGAAGAUAUGUGAUUUGGAAUCACUUGCAUAGUGCUACCAGUGUACUUUAGAAACAGCUGUUUAGUGUCAUGAUUCAGAUUUCUAGGUGGAAAUUCGAGGGCAUAUACAGCGGUUCUCAAAAUAAAAUUUCGAGUAGUUACUUUUACUGUUGUUAUUAUUUUGCGUUCUCUUCAUAGUUGUGAAAGCCUCUUUAUUUUGUGCCUUCUUUAUCCUUUAUUACCACUUCAAACACUCAUUCUAGCACUUCUGAUUUUUCUUUCUUUUGCCAGUCGCUUCUUGCAAUGUAGAGGCCCAUAUGCCAAACGAAGACAUCCUCUUGUGGACUCAACUGUAAUAACAGAAAUUAGAAGAUGCAUUGACCAAGGGAUUGAAUUUCAAGGCGAACUGUUAAAUUUUAGAAAAGAUGGAUCUCCCAUGAUGAAUAGACUGCGUUUGACUCCAAUAUAUGGGGAUGGUGUAGCGAUAACUCACAUUCUUGGUAUUCAGUACUUUCAGGAAGUAAAUAUUGAUUUGGGUCCACUUCCAGGAUCCUUGGUGAAGGAGCCUACAAGACUAUUGGAUAGGUACCGUUCUAGUCUUUCUCUUUAUGGACCAGCCUCAGAAGGAAACCGCUCUAACAAUCAUGGGGUUUGUGGUAUACUGCAGUUGAGUGAUGAGGUCCUAGCGCUCAAAAUUCUCUCACUGUUGACCCCAAGAGAUAUUGCAUCUGUUGGCUCUGUUUCUACACGACUUUAUGAGCUGACAAAAAAUGAAGAUCUUUGGCGUAUGGUCUGUCAGAAUGCAUGGGGUAGUGAAACAACUCGUGUGUUAGAAGCAGUGCCAGGAGCUAAGAGACUGGGUUGGGGUAGAUUGGCUAGAGAAUUAACUACUCUAGAAGCAGCAGCUUGGAGGAAGCUAACUGUUGGAGGUAUUGUUGAACCUUCACGUUGCAACUUCAGUGCAUGUGCAGUAGGGAACCGUGUUGUACUCUUUGGUGGAGAGGGGGUAAACAUGCAACCGAUGAAUGAUACUUUUGUAUUGGACUUGAAUUCCAGCAAUCCAGAGUGGAAAUAUGUCAAAGUCAGUUCUCCUCCUCCUGGACGUUGGGGGCACACACUCUCUUGUGUGAAUGGAUCUCAUCUCGUUGUGUUUGGUGGAUAUGGAAGGCAGGGUCUCUUGAAUGACGUCUUUGUGCUGGAUUUGGAUGCCAAACAACCAACAUGGCGUGAAAUCUCUAGCUUGGCGCCUCCACUUCCAAGAUCUUGGCACAGCUCCUGUACUUUGGAUGGGACCAAGUUGAUAGUCUCUGGUGGUUGUACAGAUUCUGGUGUACUUCUCAAUGAUACUUUCCUGCUUGAUCUGUCUAUGGAGAAGCCUGUGUGGCGUGAAAUAGCAGUGACGUGGACUCCACCUUCUCGUUUGGGCCACACGCUGUCUGUUUAUGGAGGCAGGAAAAUUCUUAUGUUUGGGGGUCUUGCCAAGAGUGGUCCUGUGCGUUUUCGAUCAAGUGAUGUGUUUACCUUGGAUCUCAGUGAGGAAGAACCCUGCUGGAGAUGUGUUACAGGAAGUGGAAUGCCUGGUGCGGGAAAUCCCGGAGGCCUUGCUCCUUCCCCAAGGCUUGAUCAUGUGGCAUUAAGUCUCCCUGGUGGCAGAGUUCUGGUCUUUGGUGGGUCCAUUACUUCUGGUCUCCAAUCAGGAUCACAGCUCUACAUUUUGGAUCCAACAGAAGAGAAGCCUACAUGGAGGAUAUUGAAUGUGACUGGUCGGGCUCCAAGUAUUGCUUGGGGACAUAAUACAUGUGUUGUUGGCGGAACUAGAGCAAUAGUCCUCGGAGGUCAAACUGGGGAAGACUGGAUGCUCGGUGAGAUCCAUGAACUAUCUUUAGCAAGCUCUGUUAUUAUAUGAAUAAAAGAAAGGUAUUAAUCAAGAGAAGGUGUUGUACUGAAUUCACAAUGAAAAUUUUGCCUCAAGAAAUAAGGAAGUCCCGCGCAAACGGUUUUUGCAUUGCACCAAAUUCAGAGUUGAUUAGCUUGUUUAUUCUUGUGUGGCUCUUAUGGUCCUGUUGAGAGGUUAAGGUUUGCAUGGAAUGAUUUCGCUUGAUGCACUUGAAUAUUCACCUAGGUGUAGCUUGAUAGAUGUGUAGGUUAUUAUGUAUUCUUAGGUUAGUUUGUAUUGUGUAUGGAUAUGUGUAUUGUUCAAGUCCUGUAAUUUGAACCCCUUUGGGAGAAUAUGUAAAAAUAGAAAAAGUAAAGGAAAAAAAGGGUAAUGAUUUGCAGUAGUACCAGAUGCAUGUAUUAGAUUUAUAAAUUAUAUCACCCUGCUAUGUUUAAUAACAGUUUAUGCGAUGACAUGUUUGUUAUUCGUUUGAGCAUCUCAGACUCAAACAGCUUUACAGUCCUUGCUGAAUUUCAUGGUAAUUUGCUCAGUCUGAGUCCAAAACAAUCCAAUUUCUUAUAGAGCUAUUAACACCAGCAGCACCAACUCUAAUGGGUUCUGAAACGGCUCUAUUAAAGCUAUGAAUGAAUAAUGAUCUCUUCUAUUUGGUA
rnacentral:lncRNA from 1 species